rnacentral:rRNA from 1 species
AGUGAACGCUGGCGGUAGGCCUAACACAUGCAAGUCGAACGGCAGCACAGUAAGAGCUUGCUCUUACGGGUGGCGAGUGGCGGACGGGUGAGGAAUACAUCGGAAUCUACUUUUUCGUGGGGGAUAACGUAGGGAAACUUACGCUAAUACCGCAUACGACCUACGGGGGAAAGCGGGGGAUCUUCGGACCUUGCGCGAUUGAAUGAGCCGAUGUCGGAUUAGCUAGUUGGCGGGGUAAAGGCCCACCAAGGCGACGAUCCGUAGCUGGUCUGAGAGGAUGAUCAGCCACACUGGAACUGAGACACGGUCCAGACUCCUACGGGAGGCAGCAGUGGGGAAUAUUGGACAAUGGGCGCAAGCCUGAUCCAGCCAUACCGCGUGGGUGAAGAAGGCCUUCGGGUUGUAAAGCCCUUUUGUUGGGAAAGAAAAGCAGCAGGUUAAUACCCCGCUGUUCUGACGGUACCCAAAGAAUAAGCACCGGCUAACUUCGUG